UACGUAGGGUGCGAGCGUUACUCGGAAUUACUGGGCGUAAAGCGUGCGCAGGCGGUUCGUUAAGUUCGAUGUGAAAGCCCCGGGCUCAACCUGGGAAUGGCAUUGAAAACUGGCGGGCUUGAGUCUGGCAGAGGGGGGUGGAAUUCCGCGUGUAGCAGUGAAAUGCGUAGAGAUGCGGAGGAACACCGAUGGCGAAGGCAGCCCCCUGGGCCAAGACUGACGCUCAGGCACGAAAGCGUGGGGAGCAAACAGG
rnacentral:rRNA from 1 species